UUAUGCACGCUAUGUGGAAGCCCCGAAAGUUCAAAUAUAUUUACCUUUUUGCCACUAUAUGUUUUCACGUUAACCCUUCUGUCAUCUGCCGCGGUGUAUUGGGAGUUUGGCGAUGAGCUUUUCAACCACUCUAACGCCUUCUCCCUCCUCCCGAAGAUCCGAUGGCGUGAUGCCGCAGUCAUUUUCAUGCUCAUUCACCAGGUAACCAGUGACUCAGGAGCUGCUGCUUGGGGAUGUGUAGUGUUCGUCAGAGCCUGUGUGUUGGGUUUAUUUAUUUUGAACUAAGAACUAUCUUUAAAACUAUUUGGUUUAUGCUUCCGCUGUUUUGUUAAACUAAUCAUCGAACUUAAACUAUGGUAUUGCUAACCACUUUGGAUAGUAAGUAUUUCUACUAUUAAUCGAUGU
rnacentral:lncRNA from 1 species